rnacentral:rRNA from 1 species
UACAGGGGGGGCAAGCGUUGUUCGGAAUUACUGGGCGUAAAGGGCUUGUAGGUGGCCAACUAAGUCACACGUGAAAUCCCCAGGCUUAACCUGGGAACUGCGUGUGAUACUGGAUGGCUUGAAUCCGGGAGAGGGAUGCGGAAUUCCAGGUGUAGCGGUGAAAUGCGUAGAUAUCUGGAGGAACACCGGUGGCGAAGGCGGCGACCUGGGACAAUACUGACGCUGAGGUGCGAAAGCGUGGGGAGCAAACAGG